rnacentral:rRNA from 1 species
UACAGAGGUCUCAAGCGUUGUUCGGAUUCAUUGGGCGUAAAGGGUGCGUAGGCGGUCGUUCAAGUCGCGUGUGAAAGCCCCCGGCUCAACUGGGGAGGGUCACGCGAUACUGAUCGACUCGAAGGCAGGAGAGGGUAGUGGAAUUCCCGGUGUAGUGGUGAAAUGCGUAGAUAUCGGGAGGAACACCAGUGGCGAAGGCGACUACCUGGCCUGUUCUUGACGCUGAGGCGCGAAAGCUAGGGGAGCAAACGGG